rfam:Gallus gallus isolate RJF #256 breed Red Jungle fowl, inbred line TCD001 chromosome 9, whole genome shotgun sequence.
ACAGCUUUGGACAAAAGUCUAUAGCCAGUGCAUUCGUAACUCCCCAUGCACAAGAGCUGACUGUGGCUCUGGGAAGGCAUUUUACUCAUUUGCUUUCUUUUUUCUUAUAGUCUUCUUGUCCAGUUCUCAGGUGUUUACCACCUAUUUGAAUUUCACCUGGGUGGGUACUGUGUUUGAGAAAGUCCCAGGACUUGACAGCCGUAUAGGCCUCAUAGAAGGCAGCUCU